GCUUUACUGUAGCUUGGAAUUGGGUUCGGGCUUUUCUUGCGCAGGAUAAGUGGGAGGCUAAGAUAGUAAUCUUGCGGGAUUAUUGGAGCCAAUGGUGAGAUACCACUCUGGAAAAGCUAGACUUCUAACCUUGAAAGCCGUUAUCCGGCCAAGGGACAGUUCCUGGUAGGCAGUUUGACUGGGGCGGUCGCCUCCUAAAAAGUAACGGAGGCGUGCAAAGGUUCUCUCAGGCUGGUCGGAAAUCAGUCGUAGAGUGUAAAGGCAUAAGAGAGCUUGACUGUGAGACCUACAAGUCGAACAGAGACGAAAGUCGGCCUUAGUGAUCCGGCGGUACCGAGUGGAAGGGCCGUCGCUCAACGGAUAAAAGUUAC
rnacentral:rRNA from 1 species